UACGGAGGAUGCAAGCGUUAUCCGGAAUGAUUGGGCGUAAAGCGUCCGCAGGUGGCUAUGUAAGUCUGCUGUUAAAGCGUGAGGCUCAACCUCAUAAGAGCAGUGGAAACUACAUGGCUAGAGUGCGUUCGGGGCAGAGGGAAUUCCUGGUGUAGCGGUGAAAUGCGUAGAUAUCAGGAAGAACACCGGUGGCGAAAGCGCUCUGCUAGGCCGCAACUGACACUGAGGGACGAAAGCUAGGGGAGCGAAUGGG
rnacentral:rRNA from 1 species